AACGAUGUUUUCUUUGACCAAGAGUACGUAAGAAACAACAACACUACCGCUAACGCUCUACAAUUAAAUUUAUCUAAACAAUAAUCAAUGUUGAAAUUGGUUCGAAAAACAAUCUUUGCUAAGUGGGAAAAGGGUCAAAAGUCAACAAACUGACAAUGUUUUCUUACGCGACUUGAAAAAAAUGUGUAGACUAUAGAUAACAUUAGACUGAAUGACAGAAAAUUAUAACUAAAAUAAAUUUCCUGUUUGAGGGGCAAACAAAAAGAUGCCUGAACUCGUAUGGUAAACACGUGAGCUGCAUAGCAUAGGCAAUAGAUUUGAUACGAAACGUUAAUUCUCGUAGCAAUCGGGGCUGCCGAGGCGGGCGCCAUGACGCCUCCGUCCCAUACUUUAUUUUGUUAUACACUUUAACUGCGCUUUGGUCUGUAUAUUUAUUUAUUUGAAGCUUUGCAGGGAGCUCAAAGGGCUCCAGCGACGUAUGACCUUUAGCCCGCAUUUCAUCUUAAAACAUAAUGAGUUAUAAUUUCGUCUAAAACCGAAUAGCUGUCUAAAAUCACAAUGGUUUAUUUUCUACGAGUUUUCGUUUUUUUGCAAGUGACUAAAAAUACGAACCGCCCCGUCAGCGCGACGGAAAUAUUUACCUUAAAUUCUCAAAUCUGAAAAGGGGCUCAGCUGGUAUUUCCUCUUAAAAAGUUGCAAGUUGCAACCUGGCAACGCUGCUUGGUAAUGGCUACGGUCAAGGCCUUUGUUGGUACGUCGAACCUGCGCUGCGGAUUCAAACCCUGUAACUUAAAUUUAAACCAAGGUCGGUUGUGCAAAUUUGAGAUAGUUUCAUAAUUUCGGAGACAAUGCGAUACGCUAACAUGGAGGUGAUCUAAUGAUGUAGUCAAGAAGCCAACAAAUGAACCCGUGACUAAAAAAGAAACCGCAAACAACGAAUUUGAGGGCGUCAGGAACCCUUCGAAUGUUAAGAGGUGUACAAGGAAAAUACAAUUGGCAAUGCGUGUACAUGUACAUAACUGUAUAAAAUCAAAUAAAAUGUAGUUUUAGCAGAAACAUUUAUUCCUUUAUGUAGUUUGAUAAUAAUGCGAAACACUAUUACUUAAAUGACACUUUCCUUAAGUGAUAGCAAUAGAUAAUGAAAUAAAGAUAAAGUCUAUGACUAUGUUAUUUAUCAUAUCAUAUUAGAUAGGUAUGUUUAUUGACCGAAGC